AGGUCCACAGGGCUCUCGCCGCGCGCCACACCCGCCUGCGUCCCCAGCUCCCCCCGCCUCAGCCCACGGAAAAGCAUACCCUAGAUUCUCCUAGAUUCUCGAUUUCCGGACUGGUAGCAAGCAGAGAAGAGAUGAGGAGGCCCCAACCGCGCCCGAGGCCUUAAAUACUUAUGGGGGGCGGAGAGUCGGGAGGAGUCUGAAGGCCAGGGUGCGGCCGGCCGCUCCCGAGUAGGAAAAGGAAGAGAGUAAGGCCAGGUACCCAUGGGAACUUUAAGGUUUUUGCGCUGACCUUGCUGCUACAACAUACUCAAGCUGAAGAAGUGGAUGGAUUUUGUGGGUUUUUUUUUUUUCCUUUAUAAACACAAAGCUUAUUAUU
rnacentral:lncRNA from 1 species